UUCUCCCGAGUCCACGUGGCAGGGGUAGUUAUAGUGGUGGGCGCCGUGUUUGGAGUGGAGGAGGUGAACGGAGUGUUAGGAAGGCUGUUAGUAAGGUUGCUGCCACGCCCACCACUGCUACUGCCAGCCCACGGUGACGCCCAGGCUGCCUCUCAUCUUCAAGUGUUAGCAAAGUCAGUGGUGGGGGGCCAAGACGGCGUGCUAUGGAGGAGGUUGGCAGGGGUGAUGGCAGGGGUGCUGUCCUGUCCCUCUCCCCUUACACCCUGGCGCCCCCCCUCGGUCUCUCCCCGGCUCAGGUAGGAACAGCGCUAGAGUCAGGCGGCAGUUUAGCAGGACUCGCUAAACUUGGAAAGGAAGUUAGCGGUGGUGGCGGUGGUGGUGAUGGUGGCGGUGGCAGGGAGGGCGAGGCUUGGCAGAGGGCAGGGGUGAGCGGGCCCUGUCUCGCUGCCCUUGUCGCCACCCUAGAGAAAGAUACCGUCACCCUGUAGAGAGAGAGAGAGAGAGAGAGAGACUGUUAGCAUUAUCUUACUACUACUACUACUACUACUACUACUACUACUACCACCACCACUACUACUAUCACCAC